CUGGCUCAGGACGAACGCUGGCGGCGUGCUUAAUACAUGCAAGUCGAACGGAAUCCAUUCGGUGGUAACACCGAUGAAGAUUUAGUGGCGAACGGGUGCGUAACACGUGAGCAACCUGCCCCAAAGACUGGGAUAACACCGGGAAACCGGUGCUAAUACCGGAUGCCCCCAUUGGUUCGCAUGGACCGAUGAGGAAAGGAUUCUGCUUUGGGAGGGGCUCGCGGCCUAUCAGCUUGUUGGUGAGGUAACGGCUCACCAAGGCGACGACGGGUAGCUGGUCUGAGAGGAUGAUCAGCCACACUGGGACUGAGACACGGCCCAGACUCCUACGGGAGGCAGCAGUAGGGAAUCUUGCGCAAUGGGCGAAAAAGCCUGACGCAGCAACGCCGCGUGGGGGAUGAAGGCCUUCGGGUUGUAAACUCCUUUCAGUAGGAACGAAAUUGACGGUACCUACAGAAGAAGCCCCGGCUAACUACGUGCCAGCAGCAGC
rnacentral:rRNA from 1 species